AGGCUUUGAUCCUGGCUCAGGAUGAACGCUGGCGGUAUGCUUAACACAUGCAAGUCGAACGGUCUCUUCGGAGAUAGUGGCGGACGGGUGAGUAACGCGUGAGAAUCUGGCUUCAGGUCGGGGACAACCACGGGAAACUGUGGCUAAUACCGGAUAUGCCGAGAGGUGAAAGGCUAGCUGCCUGAAGAUGAGCUCGCGUCUGAUUAGCUAGUAGGUGUGGUAAGAGCGCACCUAGGCGACGAUCAGUAGCUGGUCUGAGAGGAUGAUCAGCCACACUGGGACUGAGACACGGCCCAGACUCCUACGGGAGGCAGCAGUGGGGAAUUCUCCGCAAUGGGCGAAAGCCUGACGGAGCAAUACCGCGUGAGGGAGGAAGGCUCUUGGGUUGUAAACCUCUUUUCUCAAGGAAGAAAAAAUGACGGUACUUGAGGAAUAAGCAUCGGCUACAUCCG
rnacentral:rRNA from 1 species